CCCAGUGCGCAGGCGCGGGAAAGUUGAACUAAUAAAGUUUGUACGAGUUCAGUGGAGGAGACCGCAAGUUGAGUGGAGGAGGCGGCGGUGGGGCCCCGGACCAGGUGCCUCCAUGGCAGGCUCUGAAGAGCUGGGGCUCCGGGAAGACACGCUGAGGGUCCUAGCUGCCUUCCUUAGGCGUGGUGAGGCUGCCGGGUCUCCUGUUCCAACUCCACCUAGAAGCCCUGCCCAAGAAGAGCCAACAGACUUCCUGAGCCGCCUUCGAAGAUGUCUUCCCUGCUCCCUGGGGCGAGGAGCAGCCCCCUCUGAGUCCCCUCGGCCUUGCUCUCUGCCCAUCCGCCCCUGCUAUGGUUUAGAGCCUGGCCCAGCUACUCCAGACUUCUAUGCUUUGGUGGCCCAGCGGCUGGAACAGCUGGUCCAAGAGCAGCUGAAAUCUCCGCCCAGCCCAGAAUUACAGGGUCCCCCAUCGACAGAGAAGGAAGCCAUACUGCGGAGGCUGGUGGCCCUGCUGGAGGAGGAGGCAGAAGUCAUUAACCAGAAGCUGGCCUCGGACCCCGCCCUGCGCAGCAAGCUGGUCCGCCUGUCCUCCGACUCUUUCGCCCGCCUGGUGGAGCUGUUCUGUAGCCGGGAUGACAGCUCUCGCCCAAGCCGAG
rnacentral:circRNA from 1 species